UACGUAGGCAGCAAGCGUUGUUCGGAAUCACUGGGCGUAAAGCGCACGUAGGCGGCUUGUUAAGUCAGGGGUGAAAUCCUGGAGCUCAACUCCAGAACUGCCUUUGAUACUGGCGAGCUUGAGUCCGGGAGAGGUGAGUGGAAUUCCCAGUGUAGAGGUGAAAUUCGUAGAUAUUGGGAAGAACACCAGUGGCGAAGGCGGGCUCACUGGCCCGUAACUGACGCUGAGGUGCGAAAGCGUGGGGAGCAAACAGGG
rnacentral:rRNA from 1 species